UACGGAGGGUGCAAGUGUUGUUCGGAAUCAUUGGGCGUAAAGCGCGUGUAGGCGGCCGGGUAAGUCUGAUGUGAAAGCCCGGGGCUCAACCCCGGAAGUGCAUUGGAUACUGCCUGGCUAGAGGGCGAGAGAGGAAAGUGGAAGUCCUGGUGUAGGGGUGAAAUCCGUAGAUAUCAGGAGGAACAUCAGUCGCGAAGGCGACUUUCUGGCUCGUUACUGACGCUGAGACGCGAAAGCGUGGGGAGCAAACAGG
rnacentral:rRNA from 1 species